rnacentral:tRNA from 1 species
GCCCGAGUAGCUCAGUCGGCAGAGCGAGCGCUUCGUAAGCGUUAGGUCGGAGGUUCGAAUCCUCUCUCGGGCU